rnacentral:rRNA from 1 species
CUACGGGCGGCUCCAGUGAGGAAUAUUGCACAAUGGGGGGAACCCUGAUGCAGCAACGCCGCGUGGAGGAUGACGCAUUUCGGUGUGUAAACUCCUUUUAUAUGUCAAGAAAAUGACGGUAGCAUAUGAAUAAGCACCGGCUAACUCCGUGCCAGCAGCCGUGGUAAUACGGAGGGUGCAAGCGUUACUCGGAAUCACUGGGCGUAAAGGACGCGUAGGCUGUUUAGCAAGUCAGAUGUGAAAUCCAAUGGCUCAACCAUUGAACUGCAUUUGAAACUGCUAGACUAGAGUAUGGGAGGGGGAGAUGGAAUUAGUGGUGUAGGGGUAAAAUCCGUAGAUAUCACUAGGAAUACCUAAGCGAAGGCGAUCUCCUGGAACAUUACUGACGCUAAGGCGUGAAAGCGUGGGGAGCAAACAGGAUUAGAUACCCGCGUAGUC